rnacentral:rRNA from 1 species
CAACAACGGAUCUCUUGGUUCUGGCAUCGAUGAAGAACGCAGCGAAAUGCGAUAAGUAAUGUGAAUUGCAGAAUUCAGUGAAUCAUCGAAUCUUUGAACGCACAUUGCGCCCGCCAGUAUUCUGGCGGGCAUGCCUGUUCGAGCGUC